AGUGAACGCUGGCGGUAGGCCUAACACAUGCAAGUCGAACGGCAGCACAGUAAGAGCUUGCUCUUACGGGUGGCGAGUGGCGGAUGGGUGAGGAAUACAUCGGAAUCUACUUUUUCGUGGGGGAUAACGUAGGGAAACUUACGCUAAUACCGCAUACGACCUACGGGUGAAAGCAGGAGAUCUUCGGACCUUGCGCGAUUGAAUGAGCCGAUGUCGGAUUAGCUAGUUGGCGGGGUAAAGGCCCACCAAGGCGACGAUCCGUAGCUGGGCUGAGAGGAUGAUCAGCCACACUGGAACUGAGACACGGUCCAGAUGCCUACGGGAUGGAGGCGUCGGGAAUAUUGGACAAGGGGCGCAAGCCUGAUCCAGCCAUGCCGCGUGGGUGAAGAAGGCCUUCGGGUUGUAAAGCCCUUUUGUUGGGAAAGAAAAGCAGCAGGUUAAUAACCCGCUGUUCUGACGGUACCCAAAGAAUAAGCACCGGCUAACCUCGUG
rnacentral:rRNA from 1 species